rnacentral:rRNA from 1 species
UACGUAGGGUGCGAGCGUUAAUCGGAAUUACUGGGCGUAAAGCGUGCGUAGGCGGUUCGUUAUGUCUGCUGUGAAAUCCCCGGGCUCAACCUGGGAAUGGCAGUGGAAACUGGCGGGCUUGAGUGUGGCAGAGGGGGGUGGAAUUCCGCGUGUAGCAGUGAAAUGCGUAGAGAUGCGGAGCAACACCGAUGGCGAAGGCAGCCCCCUGGGCUAACACUGACGCUGAGGCACGAAAGCGUGGGGAGCAAACAGG